GUUAUUUUUAUAUUGUCCCAUCUUUAUAGAAUCCAGCCAGUCACCGACUGUAACAAAUAAAGGAUAUUCGGAAACUUCACCAGGGGACUCUGGCAUUCUAGAAGGAAAAGAAUCACAAGGACUUUAAAGCCAAAUAAAGUACAAUGAUAAAUUCAAUCUGCGAUUUGCUGAGUAUGUGGAAAUUUCUGCCAUUUCGUGAUUAGUGGGCUCUGUCCACCUGAGAAAUGAUUUAACAGCAGAACCAGCAGCUCAUACUGAAAAAAAAUACAUAUCAAAGGCAGAAGGUCAAGAGUCUAAAUUCUUCCUCAGAAAAAUAAGGAGGAGCUAGAAUUGGGAAAUUUCAGAAAUGCCUUCUAAUAAAGACCUGCUUGCUUAACUUUGAUGGGAGCCCUACAAUACUACCGCCUAAAGGGAGACACGGCUAUUAAACUUAACAGACCUAUUCUCAAGACUAAGAAACUGCUAUGGCACAAUAUAUUUAAAUUGGUUCUUUUCCCAACAUGUUUUCCUCCCUGUUCCAAUCUGUUAUCUCAAAACUUCUAACCCACAUCUCUUCAUAGUCACGCAUCUGACUUUAAUAUGUGAAAGAUUUCUGAAAAGUGUUUCCCUGGGGGAAGUGUUGGAGAGUAAAAUAUCCCACCCCAAAUAUUUGAAAAAAGAAAGAAAUCAAGCCUGUUCUCUACAAUUUGGUAUUUAGAGAUAAACCAUUAAGCAAGAGCUAAUUAUGUAUUGCCUAGGCAGCACUGAGCAAGCCUUCUUCAAAAUUCUAUUUCAAAUUGUUGAAAGUUAUUGUGGCUAUAAAACAGUCUGAUUGGUGCAUUAUUAACUGAAUGGAGGAAGGCAGUACCAUUCAGUCUUGGCAUAUUACAAGUCUCUGAAACACAGGCUUUAAUUAAGGUUUUGUAUGGACUUUUCCCUACCUUCACGAUUUACACAUUACUGGAAGCCAAGUGCUUGAAAUUUCAACAGUAGGCAGUGGUGGUUACACUUCCUAAGAGCUAACAUUCUGUAAGAUCUCUAACUAUGGCCCAGUGGGUGGUGAGAAUGCUCAUAAGGUGCCAUGGGCUGGGCAGAACAUGGUGGCUGAAGCAGCUGACUACCACAGAUGGUACUGUCCACUCUCCUCCUUGGAUGCCAUCUUGAGCGGAUUGUUGAGAAGUCCUUAAUCUGUAAAACUCUUUCUCAGGGACAUGCUGGGGGACCUGAAGUGGGAACUAGAAGAAAGUUAUUCUCCCAGUACAUUGCAGCUCUGUUGAAAAGGGCAUUGGCCAACUGUCUGCAGCCUAGUGGGUUCAGUAGGCUUCAGUGAGGGGAGGGAUUGGGGUGCAGGUGAAGAAGAUGAAGAAUGAAUAUGUAGGAUAAAGUGGAUGAAGGUGCGGAAGGAAGGGCUGGGUGACUGUACACUAUGUGGUCACUUUGCAAUAUCAGGCUACAGUAUUUAACCCUGGAUUUUAUGGUAGUUUAAUAGGAGGAACUACAAGAUUGAUCCUGAGGGUUGGGUGAGAGGGACCAAAAUGUGUUUCAAAGGGCCAAACACUGCUCCAGGUGCUGGUUGACAUACAAACUCAUCUGAGCCCUUUCUCCCAGGGUUGUACAUCACAUGAAUUAUAUGUAAUUCUUUGAAAAGUGGUUAUACAGUAUAAUUCAUUAUAAAAGGACUGGAUAUAUAAGGGUAGCUUGAAAUUCACAUGUAUGAAAGGAUGACUGCUUUAUAUUAGUAUGGUAGUUUUGUAAUUGUUUUUUACAAUUAAUUGGGAUUAAGGUUAUACUUAUAAUGUCAUCACAUUCACUUACACAUCUACAGAUUGUAGGAGAGAAAGCUGGCAAGUAGGGAAGCACACAGUGCUGAGUACUCCCACGGGAGUGCACCAGGUACGAUAAUGUCAGCAGCAGAAAAAGGUGAGAACUGCUACUGGAAACCACCAGAAGGCUUCUCGGGCCAACAGUCUUUCUAUUAGGUGCUCUGAUUUUUGCAAAGAAAGAUUACAGACAUCAAGCUUAUGAAAUUUCUAAUAUGCUAGUAAGAGAUAACUAAACCAGGGUUUCAUAGCCUUUUUCAUCCCCCUUUGUCACCUUAAUUUCCUCUCCUUUUAGUACUGUGUCAUGAGAAAGAAUAAAAGCUUCUCAAGUGAAUGCUUAAGAAAAAAAAAAAGCAAUUAGAGUGGAAUAAAAACCGUGGGGAUCUAGCAGAUGAGAGGGCUAUGUCAGCAGAGAGGUGUGAGAGAAACCUGGGAGCUUUGGGACCCCAGAGGAAAGAAGAGUGCAGGAGGGUUUUCUAAUAAGAAAGGCUGGGGAUUAUACAUGUAGAUUUCUGUACAUGUUUCAGAGACACAGGGGAGGAAAGAUUGAAACUGUUGCCUAAUACAACCUCACUCUGGGGCACACAACUGGGCUUCGGGACUUCCUUGAUGGAGGGACAGCUGUCACAGUUUUACAAACAAAGCACACCAGGUGUUCCUCAGUGAUCCUUUUAUCUACUGCAUUGCCUCUCCCUCAACAGUCUCCAGUCUCUGGGACCAGGUGCGGGGUGAGUGGGUGGUACUGGGGAUAAAAGGGGGGGGGCUUCUUUGGAAAUAAACACACAGCAAAGGAUCAGGCAUGGAUUACCCUGAGGACUUCACUUUUUUUCUCCCCUUCUCAAACAAAAGUACAUUAUGAACAACAGCAGUAGCACAUACAUCCUUGUCAGAAGCAAGGAUAGCAAAUCAGUCACAGAAACUUCCAUUUGGUCUCCCAGAGAUUAGACUUUAGAAUCGAAUCAAGCUGCCGGCUUUAUAUAAAGCACCCAGCUCCUGGUCUGUGUGUGGCAGUGCAGUCACAGAGAUGGCCACUCCCUGGCCAGCUGGUGGAUUACCGCCCACCCCACUAAGUCACACCAUUCUGGCCUGUGCACAGGACCCUCCAUGCUCACUUGACCUCUGCAUCCUUUUUAAUUUUUGGCUUUUCUUCACCUUAGAUUCUACAAGGAUACUUUAAAAUAUAAUGAUUAUUCAUAAUCUUGAAAAAGCAGAGAAGAAAAUUAUCUGUUUUUCAAAAAGAAGACUCACCUGCCUGCUUCUACAGCCAAAGGGCAGUUAGACAGCCUUGUUGACAGCACUGGCAGUGAAGUGUCAGCCCCUUGCAUCAUGACAGGCCCAGAUUAAAUUCUCUCAGUUUACCCAUGUCAAAGUCCUUUUCCAUUAAUGAAGACCUCGCUUCAUGGUCUCCUUCUUCUAGCUACUGUCACCUCAAUUUUAAAGCAUGCCUAUAACUCUUUAACAAAACACAUAAAAACAAAAACCAAGAAAAAUUUCCUCUAUCUCCUUUUUUUCCGUCAGAGACAGGUUUCUGGAAAACAAAAUUAGUGGUACACGUUGCUCUCCGCUCUGACGGUAUAUACGCUCUUCCUCUGCUGUCUUGUGCAACUUCAUUGAAAACUCUCCUCAAGAGCUGCCCAUGAGCAGCUGACACCUCAUUGCUCAACCCAACAGGGAGACUUCACUUUCUAUUUUACUGAAGCUUUGUGAAGCCUUGGACAUUAGGCUCCUUGAAACUCCCUUUUCUUUUAGCUUUUAGGAAAUGGUUCCUUCUCAGUUUCCUUCAUUACCGCUCAGGCUCUUUCCCAGUCUCCUUUGUGUCCCCUUUUUCAGUUUGUGUCUUAAAUUUUGGGGUUAGCGAAUGUUAUAUUGCUUUCCUUUGUUAAUUUACAUACCUUCUAUUCCCUGUAGGUUAUCUUAACUACAUCUAAAGCUUCAGCAAAAACCUACAUGCUGCUGAUCUUCCAAUCUGUACUCCACUCCAUGUUUCUCACCUGAGGUUCAACUUACUUACGGAACAUCCCCACCUAUAUGUCCCACAAACUUCUCUGACCCAGUAUGCUCAAAAUGGUUUCCUUUCUAUUCUAAAAUCUUGUCCCUCUCAGUGGCAAUAUCACUGGCCAACUUGUCAAAAAAAAAAAAAAAAAAAAGAAGAAAAAGAAGAGGUUUGAUAAAUAGCCUUCAUUCAUUUUCCCUCCUUCCUUCAAUAUUCAUAUAGUGAGCAAGACCCUGUGCCCUGUGGUUUCCUUUGCCUAAUAACACAGUAUUUUAUAUCCUGAUCGAAAGCUUAUUCCCAUUCCAUGGUUUGGAUUGAUGGAAACAUAUAACUUUGUCUCCAGACUUGUUUCCUGUUUUGCACUUGUAGUCUGAAUCAUCCUUAGAGUGGUAAUUCAGAAAUGCAAAUAUGAUCAUGUCAUUCUCUUGCUUAAAACCCUUCAAUGGCUGUCCAAUGCUUUUAUGACAAAACCCAAAGUGUCUCCACUCCUCCCCCAACCCUUACUGCUUCCUGCAUUGGACUGCUUUAGGGAAGAUGGGCUGGAGUAAUAGUUUAAUCUCUAGCUAUUUCAUGCUUGGCUUCACUUUACUGAGGCUGCCAAUUAGUGAUUUAGAGGUGAACUCUUCUAUGCUCUGCUGUGAACGGGGGCCUGUUUCAAAUAGUCCUUGAAGGGCUUCAGCCUUAUUGUCACUAAAAUCCUACACUGACUUGAACCUGUGACUUCUUCUAGUUGAAGGUCUGUAUAUAUUUCUGGGCAUCCCCUGAGUCAGGAAAGCAAAUUUUGGAAAUGCUUUGGUAUUUCUAAGUCCUAUUUGGUCUAAAUAAAUAUAUUUUUAACUUAAUGAUAUCUUAAAUGUAAUAUUUUGAUUUUAUUUGACUUUUAUAAUUGCUUUUCCAAGAGAGGUGAGCAUAUCUUCUCAACUCUACUUUUAUAAUGGUAUAUGAUGAGUGCUUUCAUUUUCUUGUCUUGUCAUCUGUCCUUUUCUGGCUUUAGGAAUAGAAGUAACAACAGCUAGAUGUGAUCAUAUCAGCAGGAAGCAUCCUUGCUGCUGGCUGAUUUAUAAAUUGCCACUCUCUUGCUUGCCAUUUCUAAUAGGUAUACAAAACAUGGAAUGUACAAGAAAAUUAAAGGGGCUAUGUACACACACACACACACACACACACACACUGCUUAAAAAGGUCAGGAAGGACCAGUAAAUAGAGCAAAGAUAUAUAAAAAACACACACAGGAAAAAAUAUAAACAAGGUAAUUCAAAAAGUUUAGAUGUAGAGAAAAUAGAAGAAACUAUUUCCUUUUGAAAGAAAAGUCCAUUUUUUAAAAUGCUGAUAAUUUGUCUUUGCCGCUGAUAAAUAAAACAGGCUUUGUACAAGGUUGACAAGUAGACAGUUACCAAGGCAAACUUCGCCUCUCUACCUGUUAUUCUUGUCUAUAGCCUGAAAGAAAUUAUGAUUGUCAAGAGAAA